rnacentral:tRNA from 1 species
CGUUUUAGAAACAUCAGUGGCCAACGAUCGUCAGGAUCGUUGAGCUGCAUUGGCGGGAUUUCGCCGUCUUCGUUUCUCUUUCUUCGCGGACGAACACGCGCUGGGCCUGCGAGAGCAGGGUCCCUGGUCCUUGACGGGAUAUGCGUUAGGGGCUUGUAGCUCAGUUGGUUAGAGCGCGCGCUUGAUAAGCGUGAGGUCGGAAGUUCAAGUCUUCCCAGGCCCACCACACUCAUCGGGUAAGCAUUCGUCUUCUGGUUACGGGGCCAUAGCUCAGCUGGGAGAGCGCGUGCUUUGCAAGCAUGAGGUCGUCGGUUCGAUCCCGUCUGGCUCCACCAGAUGGUUUGAUCACCGACGCUGUGUUUGCAGCUAUUCAACCGUCGUCCGCGAAACAUCACUUCGCACCUACUAGUCUGGAUAGACAGUAGGUUGCGUGAUUUCUGACAUCGUAAAGAGGAGAUCGAUCCGAGUUGGAUCGGGCAGCAAGCAAUUGCUGCGCGAACCUUCAUUAUCUCCGGAUCAUUUCGGCGCUCGCGCGCCUUUCAAUGCGGCUCACAAGGCUGCGUCUGAGGGGAAUGCGGGUUGUAAAUGAUCCUUUUAGCGAAGCUUGACCGCCUCGCUAUCGGAACGAUCUUACGAAGCAAGCUGGUCUUUCUAAUCAUUGUCCGGCUGUACGUAGCGUUCAUCGAGGGCGCGUGCCGCAAGGCAAUCGUACAGACAACAUUCUGCCGAGUGUGUGGACAUUGAUAAUGAGAGCAAUCAAGUGCCUUAAGGGUGUUCGGUG